rnacentral:rRNA from 1 species
UGGGGAAUCUUGCACAAUGGGGGAAACCCUGAUGCAGCGACGCCGCGUGAGCGAUGAAGGUUUUCGAAUCGUAAAGCUCUGUCCUAUGGGAAGAUAAUGACGGUACCAUAGGAGGAAGCCCCGGCUAACUACGUGCCAGCAGCCGCGGUAAUACGUAGGGGGCGAGCGUUGUCCGGAAUUACUGGGCGUAAAGGGUUCGCAGGCGGCAUGACAAGUCCGAUGUAAAAGGCGAAAGCCCAACUUUCGUAAGCAUCGGAAACUGUCAAGCUUGAGUGAAGGAGAGGCAAGUGGAAUUCCUAGUGUAGCGGUGGAAUGCGUAGAUAUUAGGAGGAAUACCGGUGGCGAAGGCGACUUGCUGGACUUCAACUGACGCUGAGGAACGAAAGCGUGGGUAGCAAACAGG